rnacentral:rRNA from 1 species
UAGGGAAUCUUCGGCAAUGGACGAAAGUCUGACCGAGCAACGCCGCGUGAGUGAAGAAGGUUUUCGGAUCGUAAAACUCUGUUGUCAGAGAAGAACAAGGACGUUAGUAACUGAACGUCCCCUGACGGUAUCUAACCAGAAAGCCACGGCUAACUACGUGCCAGCAGCCGCGGUAAUACGUAGGUGGCAAGCGUUGUCCGGAGUUAUUGGGCGUAAAGCGAGCGCAGGCGGUUUCUUAAGUCUGAUGUGAAAGCCCCCGGCUCAACCGGGGAGGGUCAUUGGAAACUGGGAGACUUGAGUGCAGAAGAGGAGAGUGGAAUUCCAGGUGUAGCGGUGAAAUGCGUAGAUAUAUGGAGGAACACCGGUGGCGAAGGCGGCUCUCUGGUCUGUAACUGACGCUGAGGCUCGAAAGCGUGGGGAGCAAACAGG